GACCGGAGCUGUUCCUAUUCGGCCAUCUUGGCUGCUUCUUCCCCUUUUUUCUCGAUGCUAGAGGUUCAGCAACCUUAUUGAUCUUUUCAAGGACUUUAGGGGCUCAGCAUUUCUCCCCUCUGGAGGACAGAGCAUCAAGGUACCAUCUUGGAAAGCAGCUCUCAUCAGACAAGGGAACUUGCCAGUGCCUCUAUCUCAGACUUCCUAGCCUCCAGAACUAUGAAAAGAGCCAACAGACUCUGAGAAUUCACUACAAAUCCUCAGCUAAGAAGAAUUUCAAGAUGGAGCAAGCUUUAGAAAUGGGGUUCAUAUUGCACUAUCUACUAAGCUCUCUUAAAUUGCCAAAGCAAAUCAAGGUAGCCUGACUGGCUGAUUAAAUGAUUAAUUCUGCCUGGAUUUAAUUUCUGGCUUUUCUGGGAUUCAGCUGUGGUCUAAAUUAAAGCAUUAACCUUUUAACUAGAAACCUGAAUUUAGUUUUCCCUUGGUUUACAUGCAUGGCUCCCAUCAGAGAUUAAUCUUCAUCCUUCAAAAUACAGCCCAGAAUUCAUCUUUCUGAAUGCCCCUAUGCUCUGCCCAGGACCCCAUUUUCUUCCUCUUUCGCAGGAACUUUGACUCAUAGUUGUCCAGAAGGUCUCUCACACACCUUUGUGACAGCACCUCCCACGCUGUCCCACUAUCUGAUUACCUGUCUGUCCACCUUGCUAAAAGGCAUAUCUUAGACACACAACUGGUGUGUACAGUCCCCUUCUGUUGAAUGUGGCUAGGCCCUGUGAAUAUGAUGGGAUAUCAUGCCAUUGAUUAGGUUACCCUAUAUUGGCAGAGGUGAUAUGAUACACUCUGUGACUACCAUAAGUUAGGUAAGGCUCUCAUAGCAGCCUGUAGGAAUGCAGCCUUGCCAGUGCCUUGAUGUUAGCCCACUGAGAUUGAUUGUGGACUUCUGAAUGCUACAACUGUAAAACAAUAAAUUCGUG
rnacentral:lncRNA from 10 species